CUCUCUUAUUUUUAUCACUAAUUGUUCCGAACCCCCUCCCGUCUUUUGUCGUUCUUUUUUCUUGUAAUUCAACCUUUUCCAUUUUUCGUUUUUUUUUUUCCUCCGUCUAUGUUAAGCUUUUGAUUGCUUUCACAUCUCUCUCUUUCUCUCUCUCUCUCCCUCUCGCUUUCCUUCUUUGGAGAAUUAUUCACCGCGUGCCGCCCUCUCCUCAUCACUCUUGCACUCCCUCUUUCCCACCUCUGUCUCUUCCGUGUUUUCGUGCGCUCUCUCUUUCAUUUGCCGUCUUCAGCUCUCCUACCUCCAAGAGAAAGACAAACACAACAUCGCAAGGCCAAGAGGUGCUCUCUCCCUCUCUCUUCCACUCACUCACAAGAAACCAACGCACUCACAUUUUCUUUUCGCCUCUCGCUCGUGUGCCGUUCAUCAACUUGUAAUUCGCCUCCCUUUUCGCUGCACACACAAAUACAGAGGUCUUACAGACGCCGCUUUUUCUGGAGCGCCUUCAUCGUCUCUUCCACUCUGCAUUCCGCGCUCAACUGUGCGUGUGUCUGCCCCGCCUCUCUUCUCUCUUCAGAAAAGGGAGAAAACAGCCUCGCCUUUCGCGGCUGCCGCUCGCCCUACUAGUGCUACUGCCCCACCGCGUGCGCUAAUCCCUGCCUCUUCUUGUCUUUUUACCAUCUGUUUUUGGCUGCGCUCUAGUUGAGUUCGCGCAGCCUCCUUUCACAGUUUGCGUCGACCACUAACCGUUCUCUCUCUCCUUCUCCCAGACUUUGCCGUCUUUCGAACUCUUUCCUCCGUUUUGUGCGCUGUUUUGGUGGAUCAACUUCGUUUCCUGGUUUCACCUCUCUGUCUCUGUAUAGCUUCACCCAAGCACAGAUACAUUUUCUCUGUUUCUCUCUGUCGGUGAAAAAAAAAGGAAAAGGUCUUCUUCUUCCAUUUAAGGCUCGUGCUCAUCAUCAACCCCAUUCCCCUCGCACCUCCCCCUCACACCCUCGGCUUCCACAUCGCCCUUUGCCCUCCCUCUCUUCUAACUCGUUGAGCUGUGUGCUGUGCGGUGUAGUGUAUUGUGUGUGCGUGUGUGGCUCCCCACCUCUGCCCCGCUUUUUUUGUUCGUGUGUGCGCUUUUCUCGUUCGCGUUUUGUUUGGCCCUUUUACCACCACCACCACUACCACCAUUAUCACCACCGAGAACUUCCGUCUGUCUCACCCUCUCUUCUUGGAGUUUAUUCUGGUGGUUUGUUUUGGUGUUUUCGGUUUGUUGUCUCCCUCGUCUGUGUGUGCGUGUGUGUGUGUUUGUUCUUCUGUCGUCUCUUUUUUUCCGUUCCUGUUUGCUCUCGCGCGUGUUGCCCUGCGCUCUCUUUUAUUUUAUUUUUAUUUUUGUUAUUUCCUCUGUGUGCGCUGCGCCUACACGCUCUCCCGCUUUCGUUUGCGCCUAGCUUUUUCCCUUUGCGCGUGUUUUGUGUGGGAUCGCCUCCUCUACUUCUCGGUGGGUCCCUCUCCUUCAAUCCUUCUUACGUUUUAUCUUUUGAAUCUCGUUUUUUUUUAUUGCCGUUUUUUUUUUGUUUCGGCUUACGCCCGUUUGUGCGAUCAGCUUCUCUCUGUUUCCCUCCUCUGUGUGCGUGCGUGUGUGCGUGUGCUAUCUCUUCAUUGUUGUUUGAGGCUUCUUUAACUGGCUCUCAAAGAAAGGAGCCUUUUUCUUCCCCUCUCUCUCUGCCGGCAUAUUUUCCGUCUUUCCAUUGUUGGCCAUUGCGUGUGUCUGUCUCCCGUCGUCUCGGCGCUUGCGUUGUCCUUUACAGUUUUUCUUUGCCUUUUGUUUUCCUUCUUCUCCCCUCGCGCGUGCUUCGCGCUGUGCGCAUCUCUUUCUGUUUCCCCCUUUUCUUUGUGUGCCGCCUCUCCCUCUCUGUUUCUCGUCGGGCCUUUCUGACGCGUGAUGGCAUACUUGCCUACAAACACGGCUGAGCGACUCCCGACGAGCAGCUUCUCCAUCACCGAGCCCACCGCGUCCUCUACGAUGCUGCCGGCGCCGCAUUCAUCAGCAAACACGAGACGCAUUGAGGGACUCGUCGUCGUCCCCGGCAUCGCUAAAGUAAGCGGGAGCGACGUCGCCUCCCAGUACACAAUGCCGCACACCAACAACGCACCGCUCCUCUUUUCGGAACCGGAGCACCCGGCCGUCGACAACUCUAGCGGCAGCAACGACGCACAACUCGAACCAAAGGACCCGCACCUGGGCCUCAUGCCGCACUGUCUCUCAUGUACCCUGCUCACAUCUGCUGGGGCGCAGGAGCCCGAGGACGUCUAUGGCCGCUCAAUGCCAUCGUCAUCUGCCGUAGGCGCUGUCACAACGGCGCUGGGGUGUGCCGUGGUGCCGACGCUUCAUGCGUCCUUCACUCCUGGGGCAAGCACGUCCAUCAUGCCUGCGCCCACCGAGGCUCACAGCGCAUGUGGCUCACGUCCCCUCCAGCAGCACCGCUGGGGUGGCAACUACGACAGCGGCAGCCAGUGCGUGUCCUUCCGCGGCGCCGAUCGAAGCAAUAAUGUCAGCGGCUGUGGUCUGCGACUCGUCGGCGAUGAUGUGGAGUGGCUGCAGGGCAGCUUCGAAGACAGCGCGUCCUCUCCGCGAGAGGAGGUGCAGCUGUCGUGGGGGCACCUGCAGCGCCAGCCGUGCACGGGCAAAAGCAGCGCCGCUCGAGCGGUGCCGCCAGCUCUCCACGAUGCUAGGGAAGGCACCGCUCGGGAGAAGGCGCUUGCGGCUCACUACCGUUUUGAGCGUGCGGUGCAGCCACAGCCGCAGCGGCAGGGCGCUUUUCUGAGCGCUGACGAGGAAAAUUGCCAGGCAGCGGCCAUGCUGUGGGCAGCGCAGCAGAUGGCCGUGUUCGACUGAUGGAGUAACCCAGCGGCGCACAUGUGUGUGUGUGUGUGUGCCGCAUAGCCAUACCCACGAACACCUCCCCAUGCGAAGCGCACACAUUAAAGUCGAUGCAUCUCAACUGUAAGCACGCCGUGCCAGCAAGCAGGAAGUGAACAGGAAGAGCUGACGGAGGCAGGUGUGAGGGCUCAUCACCAGUAGGCAUGCAAAAGCCUCUUAGGAAGCUGUCUCUGCGAAACAGGGAGGGGAGAGAAGGGCUUUUUUCGUGAUGGAUGGUGGCUGCUGCUCGCCUGCGUAUGCAUUAGGGAGGUGGGGCGCAUCAACACGAUACGUUCAUGGCAUGAUGCAGCGUAGCGAUCGAGUGAUCCGAAGACACAGACCAACUCCUCGAAAGCAUACGCCCUGGCGUAAGGCACUGGUGCCUUUCCUUCCCUCCCACUCUCGGUCUCUCCCCGGCUGCCUCGCCUCAUCGGCCACACAUACCCACACGCCUACACACCCACAGAGAGAGUUGCUCAGCUGAUGUGCGCCACCCACAUGCGAAAUAGUACUAAGAAAACAAAAGAGUAAAGACACCUUGCAAGGGUCCAUGAUGCGAAGGCUGCGGACCAGCGAAGGGCUCGUGAGGACUAUCUUGUCCGAGGUGGCAGCCCUCUCCCUCCUUCCCUCGUUCCCAACGCGAACAACAUCAAAAAAAGAAACACACGAAAGAAUUGCCCCUCCUCCUCCUCCCCCAAACAACAACAAAAAGGCGUCUCGCUUGUUCGUUUUCACGCCUUCUUUCGACGCUCAUUUCUUUUUUGUCAUUGUUUCGCGGAAAAGCUGUCCGCCAUGUGCGCUUUCUUACUUCUCUGUUGGCUUCAGAAGACGCGCAGUGCACUCCACCCCCACCUCCCUCAUUCGUCCACGGAUAUACCUCCCCCGCCUAUUACACGCAACAAACAAACAACGGAAAAACGAAAAAGUGAAAGUUACAUCAACAGACGCGUGCCGAUGCAUGAUGGAUAAGGAGAUAGAGACGUACUCGCUCUUAAGCUCGUGUGUGUAGACGGAUGUCCGUAUAUAUGUAUGUGUAUGCUUAUACAUGAAUUUAUGUGGAUGUGUGUGUGUGUGUGGCUGUAUUGGCUCACCGGUGUGCACUGUCCGCGUACAUGUGUAAACGGAUUGCGGGUCUGAGGGGGGGGGCAUGAAAAGAAGUAGGCUGAAGAUGAAAUAACACGAGCGCGCAGGCAAAAUGAACCCGUGGGCACGGGGAAAACAAACAAAAAUAAGAAGGGCAUCUGUAGGGGAUGCCUGCGCUUUUAUUUUUUUUUUUGUCGCAGUCACUCUCCCAAGUAAAAGCGCGAGCAAGAGAGGGAGAAUGGCGGUGGUGGAGGGCCGCAGUGCGGCAGCUGCCCUUGCGGCCGUUGGAGGCGAACGAGAAGGGUAAAAGGGAGAGUGAGGUGCAUUAAGCGCGAGAGGAAAAGUUUAGACCACCCGCACUAACGCAAAAUAGAAGAGAAGCGCGAAAAAAAAAAUAGCCAACCACAGCAAGGAGGGGCAAGAGAAACGAAACAGAUGGGCGAACUAUCGUGGACUCGCGUGCGUGCAGCAGUGAAAUGUUUAUGCGACGUAUUUUAUCCUCCUGUUCUCCUCCGCAGUCUUUGCAUGCUCUUUUUUUUACUUUCUCGGCUGCUUCCCCAUGACUCCUCUCUGCCUGGGUUUGUCUGUCAACACUUGCAUUUGUGUCUUUAGCGCGCACUCGCCUGUGCCUGUGCAUCUGUGACGGUGUGAUCGGCUGUGGUGGUAUCGGCUGCUCACCCUUCUGCAUGUGUGCGUCUCUGCGUGUAAUCGCUCUGCUUCUCUCUAUCUCCCUCUGAACUCGUGCGCGUCUUCUGACUCUCUUCCGACACGGCUCCUUCAACUAGCUCGCUAUUGUCUUUUUUUUUCGCCACUCCGCUGUAUGUUUCCUUGCUUGUCAAUGUCUCCGUUAUGUGUGCGCGUGGGUGUGUCCUCAUCAGUCUUCCUGAACUCUUUCCUGGCUUGUUUUAUCUAUUUUACGUUGCACUCCCUCGCAAAGGCCUUGCGAGCGACACUGAUCGCCUUCUUUCGCCCUUCUCCAUGGACGCCCUGCUGAAAGAAGUUCAUCUAUGGUUACAUCAUGUUUGCGCGUUAUGAUUGUUUUUUUUUUUCGAUGCUGCUCAUGGAUGGUGGUGCCCCCGUGCAUGUAUAUUUCCGUUUCCGUUUUUUUUUAUUUGUGUGUGUACUGGCGCGCGACCCUAUGAGCACCUUUGCGCUUGCUUUCGAUGAUCGGUAUUUUUUUUUGGUUGUUCACUGAUACUCCCCUCAGCUCGUAUAUACUGCUGUCCGUCUUUCUCCACUCUUAGUCGCUACGAGCCCUUUUUUAAAUAUUUUUAUGUGUUCUUUCAUGACGUCAAGGCGCACGUCCUUCCUCCUCCUCUUGUGCUCUGGUUUUAUUUUGCCCCCCCCCCCCCCCCCCCCCCCGCUCUUUUUUUUCGCUUGUGCUCAGCUUCAACUUCCAGCGCGGCCACUAUUAGUACUGCCCCACGUCCUCUGCUGUCGUCCCUUUUUUUCCCUGCCUUUUUCGCGUGAAUGUUUUCAUGCAAAUAUAUAUAUAUAUAUAUACAUAUGUGUGUGUGCGUGCUGCUUUCCUUUUCUGCUGUUUUUUUUUUCGUGCCCUCGUUUUGGAGGGUUUGCGCUGUUUUCUAUUCUUGUCGUGCACCACCGACGCUCCCGCCCCUCCCCCCUCCCCCACCACAACGCUCUAGUUAGUCUUUUCCCGGAAGCUGUCGUUCUGCCAUGGCGAUAGCUGUCUUUCAUCUUUUUUUUUUGAUUUAAAGUGGAGAGAAAGCCAACCCACGAACAUCAUUCUGUUCGUGUCUUGGUGGUGGUGGCGGGCGGAACUGCCGCUUUCGAGUGUGCCGGGAUGCGUUUCACUCGCCUCUUUUUUUUUCGUUGCUGUCUGUUCCCGUCUUUAUUUGUUUUGUGUUGUCGGUUAGCUUGUGCUUGCGUGUUUGGCUUGCUUUUUUUUUCGGCCUCUCUGCGUAUCUCUUUCUCCAUUCUGUGUCGCUUUUUUUUGUAAUUCAUGAUGGUUCUUCCAGUUGUGGCUCUCUCUUUUUAUUCCUCGCUUCUCCUUGUGCUCCGUUUUGUUUUAUUUUAUUGUAUUUUUUUGUGUUUUCACGCUACUCUUCCCUCCACCCACCCUCUCUCUUCCUUGCGGCCCUGCGCGAUAAAGAGAAAAAAGUUGUGUUCGGCGAUGUAUGCUCUUUCUCUGUUGACGCUCUUCUCGUUGUUUAACAGGCGGGGUGCGCGUCGGUGCGUACAUGUCUGGGCUUUUUGUGUCUGUUUUCGCCGCUCAGCAUAUGUGUCUGUGUUUAUGCCUUCGCUUCUUCGCUCGCCGAGCACUUUUUAUCGAGUGAUUUUGGCUCCUCUCUGCUUCUGCUUAUGUCUGGAGAGGUGGACGUUUUUCUAACCGAAGCUGAGCAAGAAAACAAAUAACACACACGCGCACGCGCAUAUUUGCAGAGAGCACGAUGCAGAACCUAAGUAGCGCCCGAAUAAAUAAAAGGGCGAAACAGGAUUUCUCAAGCGAAGUAGACGAAGGAUCGAAAGAAUGACAAGAGGCGAGUGCGUCGAGGUAACUUAGCGCAUCCCCAUCCUUCCCAGACAUCUACGCACACACACACACACACUCCUGGGAUGUGGGCCUCGCUAAGUUCGCAUGACGGCACUUUUCACAUCCCCUCUUGUAUGUUUCUUUUUUUUUUUCCCGCUUGCUAAACUCGCCGCGGGCUCUUUCAUGUGUCGGUGAGGGCAUGACUUUGUAUUUUUUUUGUAUUUUUUGUUUACUUUUUUGUUGGGCCGUGUGCUUUCCCUUCCUCCCUCUCUCCGCUUGUUUUGUUUUUGUUUCCGCUUCUCUUUCUCGCAGCCCUCGACGUGUGCCCGUGAGACUGACCUUGUCCUCGCUUGCGAAGCCUUUUUCUUUCUUCCUCGUCGCUGAUUAUGGCUGUUCUCUGCACGUAUGCGCUCUCCCCGUGAAGUGCAGAGGUGCCGUGGUGGAUGAUGCGUGAGUGUGUGGCAUUUGUUUUUCCCUCAGAGAUCUGAACGACUUCUUAUGGUGAACGCCGGUGUAAAAACGCAGCGAGGCUGCAAGAAGCCAUACCGUGUUAGCGCGCCAGCGAAGGAACCAAAUGGAGCGGGAGAGAGGGGUGGAAAAGAAGGUGUAUGCAAGAAGCACGUCGCUGGGCACUCGCGCGACGUGCUUGUUGCACCGAAAUGCGCGCGUGGGAGUUUGCACGUUCAGGUACUCCGUGACAGACACACAGCACGCGAUGCUGAACAGCAAACAAAAAAGGAAGAGCGAAGAAAGAGCGAAGCGCAAUCAAAGAUGUCGUCUGUAUAUUCGUUCACCGUCGGAAAAAAAAAAUGCAUGAAAAAAUUGAAACAGACGCGGCGCAGCAUCCAGGGCUUGCGCUGCUCUCUCUUCUCCACAUCCCUCCCUCUCUCCUCCUCCUUCUGCACUGUCUCUCCCCCAACGUUUCUCCUUUCUCCUCCCUAUGGUUUUUGUUUCGUUUUAUGUAUGCUUUUUUUCCUUUGUUUUCAACGUUAGGCGUUGAAGAAGUGUGCCUGUAAGGGGGGCGAGAGGGAGACGGGCGUGUGUGUGUGCUUGUUCGCAGGAGAAAGUGAGGAGGGGAAGAGAGCAUAUUUUCUGUUUUUUUUUUUUGGUUUACUUUUCUGGCGAGCGCGUGCUCUUUAUCUGCACGAGUUAUGCGGCAGAAAGGGCAGAGAACGCCGUGUCCGUCAAACGGUUCUACGGAGGCAAAGAAAAGAGAGAAGAGGCGAAGUGGAAAACGAAAACGCGCCGAGGUCACGAAGAUCUGUCUGCGCGUGUAACGGAUGGAGGAGUGGAGUUCCAGAUGAACGGAACGAAGAACAUCGUGAGGGGUACGGGGCAUGUCAACAGAGGUCAAAUCCACACCUGAACACUCGACAGUAGCCGAAGGGAUACAAAGAGCGCGAUGGAAACCACCAGAAGAAAAGACGAGGCGGAGCUGCAGAAAAGAAAAACGUCUUUGCGUUCUUUUUUUUCCCCGACGUAUCCCCUGUGGUGCAUGUGUGGGAGGCGAUUGCCAUGUCGCGGAGGUUCUCUCUCACUGUCGUUUCCUUGCUCUCAUCACUGUCAGCACUUUCAUUCGUGGGUUUCUUUUUCACGUUGUCUCUCCUGCCCCGUGUCUUCUCCCUCUCUCCCUCUCUCCCCACUCUCCCUCCCCCUCCUUCAUGGCUGCCUUGCUGCCUACUCUCUCUGUGAGUGUUUGCACGUCCACAGAAUCUCUGUUCGCUCGGUCACCUCUCCGCCGCCCCUCCUCCCCAAGCCUUCCUACACCAUCUUUCGUUGACUCUUCUCCUUCUGCUCUAUGCUUUUUUUUUAUUGGUUUGGCCUUGAUAACCGUUGUCUUGUUCUUCUCCCGCUUCUCCCCCCCUCUCUCCCUCCCUCUUCCUCUUCCUUGACUGUGUAGCCCCUUUGAAUGGCGCAUUUCUUUUGGAUCUUUUUUUUUCGGUUCGCCUGCUGCUUUGCUGCACGUCUGUGCUCGUUUCUCGCUGCCUUCUCCGACUCUUUCUUUCUCUCGCACACGGACCCACACGGCCACACCCGAUACAGGUAGCAUCUUCCCUGUGUGUUCGUUCUGCGCACCCCCUUUUUUUGUCCUUAGCCUCUGCGUUUUUCUAUUUUUUUUUUGUGUGUGUGUGUGUGUGCCGUUCCAGUAGAGGAGAACAGUGUGGAGGAGUAGGAGAGAAACACAAACAACAACAGCAAACAAACAAACAACAAAAAAACAGCACGAAUAUGAAGAACGACAGCAACACAGAGAGAACAGGCCGAGGAUCAAGCACGCCUUACAUCCUCCAGUAAUCCUCCUCCUCCGGGGCGGGGCAUGCAUGUGUGUGUGUGUGUGUGCAUGAGAUGCUUAUGUGUAUAUCUCUGCGUGUGAUGCAUCCUGGCAUCCUCAUGGUGCACGGACUCAUACACACAAAACUCACACGCAGGCCGGCAUGCACACACAUAUACACACACGGACACACACACGUACAAAUAUAUAUGUCUGUAUAUGUAUGCAUGUGCGCAUGUGUGUGUGUGUUUGUGGUGCCCAACUCAUUCAGAAGAACACCAUUGACACGAAAACAAAAACGCAGCAUAGACGGCAACAGCAACGACAAGAAAGAACCAGAAAGGCAAAGGCAGCAAUAUGAUUCAGGCUCUUUUCCUUUGUGUUUCAGAAUCAACGCCGCACCGACGCCCCAAAUAAGAGCACAAGAAAGAUGCACAGACAGACAUAGAAUCCACACGCCGUUCACGCAUCUGCACAGAUUCUCCGUUAGCUGCACGUGUGCUUUUCCUUCUCCGUAGGAAUGAGAUGCAAAAGGAAGAAGACCACACACACACACACACACACACACGCAGACACGAACACUAAGCGAAACGAAAAAGCAACUGAAGCAGAAAAGAAUGAGGGACGUCUUCGUGCUUUUUUUCUACUGGUGUCUUUGCGUUUUCCAAAAUUCGCUUUCUUGUUUAGUUUGCUUCUCUUAGUCUAUAUCCUGGCGCUUGUGGUGCAUUUCUUUUCGCCUUCUUGCUUCUCUGCCUCAUUAUUAUUUUUUUUAUCUUCGUGUUCCUGAGUUUCCUUUCUGGAUCUCCUGCGUGUGUGUGCGUGGAUGUGUCUGUGCGUGUGCCCCUCUCGCCCUGUUUCUGUGGUCUUCUUUUUUUUAACUUUUCAUGUUCCCUUUGUUGGGUACCUCCCUUCCUCUCUCCUUUUCUCGCUCAUUCUUUUCUUUUUCGUGCUCUAUAGCUUCAAGCCUUCGUCAUGGGUAUUAUUUUCUUUUUUUUUGCAUGUUUGUGGUUGGUUUCCAUGUUUUUGCGUUGUGUCGCUCUCACUUUCAUCAAAAAUCAACAUCACGCGGCUGCUUUCCCUUUUUUUCGUAUAGUGAAUCUGAGGAGAGGGGCUGCUUUGAUUCUUUUUCUAUUUUUCUUUUUUUUUUGUGCUAUAUAUGUAUGUUUUAGCCCGUUGCCCACGCGUGUUUUCUUUUUUUUUUCAAUUUUGGGCUGCCCUGCAUUGAAAGGGUUUACACUCUUCUUGUGUGUGCGUGUUCAUAUGUCUGUGGUGGUUUGCCAUGUAAAUGAAUAUAUAUAUAUAAGCACGUGACGUAUACGUGUGUUCAUCUCUAUAUCAGUCACCUUUGUCUAAUUUUUUUUUAACGCCAUGCGCGUGCGCAUUCG
rnacentral:misc_RNA from 1 species